AUUUUAUCCACCGCAGGUCUCUGAUUGAAGUGUAGGUUGUCAGGGUUACUAGUUGGUCCAGCAUGUAGAACUGUGUCACACAGAUGACUAAUAGGUAACGUAUUACCCAGUUUGGAUAGCCAGACUUAACGUGCAAAAGAGUAGUCAGUAGACUUGCUGAGGUCAGGGGAUACAGAAAGAGACACAAUGAUAAGGAAAAGCCAGAAGUCAGGGAUACCAGAAUACAGGGAAGUCAAAACAAAGCCAGAGUCAAAAAACAGAAAAUACUUGAAUCAGGAAAGCACUCUUGGACAACCACUAGGAAACCCACAACAGGGCAAUGAGGAAAGGUAAUUUGGGGUUUAAAUACCUGCUUUACCUUUCUGAUUGGCCAAGAUCGAUCUUUGACCCAAAACGUGCACGCGCAGAGCGUGCUGAUGUCUUGUGCACGCCAAUGUCGUCAAUCAUGUGAGCGGACGUGGGGGUAUAAUUUUCCAUGGACCUGCAGUGGCCGGUGUCCAUUAGCAUGCCACAAGUGUCAGUCAUGCAGACGCACAGCCGCUGGAUGCAGAAACUGCAAGGUGAGGAAGAAUAUGUUACACAGGUAUGGAGCAGUGUUAAUUUUGUCGACUAACAAUUUUAGUCAGAUUUUAAUCGACGAAAAUUUUUGAGAUUCAACUAAAACUAGAUUAAAACAAUUCAGAUGAGUAAAAUACGACUAAAACUAAAAUGGCUUUUUAGUCAAAAGACUAUGACUGAAACUAAAUUGAAAUUAGCUGGCAAAAUUAGUGGCUAAGACACAUGGGGAAGAGAGGAGAGG